rnacentral:lncRNA from 1 species
GCCUCACCGUGCACGCCCCGCUCCCUGAUGGCGGCGGCGGCGGCGCCGUCGGCGAUGAGCGUGGCGGGCAGGCGGUCGUGCAGCGCCUCCAGCGCCGUCAGCCGCGCCCCCUGCAGGAACGGCCGCGUCUCCGUGCACAGCAGCCGCGCCAGGCGGCCCUGCGAGUGCAGCGCCCGCACGACGCCUGCGGGGAGCCGGGGCUGCGGGGGGGGCGGAGACACGCGGGGGGGNNNNNNNNNNNNNNGAAAAGGGGACGGAGCUGUAGGGACACGUGGGGGCACAGCGACACGUGGGGACGUAUAGGGACAUAUAGGGGCACAUGGGGACAUAUAGGGACACAUGGGGACAUAUAGGGACACAUAGGGAAACAUGGGGACAUAUAGGGACACAUGGGGACAUACAGAGACACAUAGGGACACAGGGACACAUAGGGACACAUAGGAACAUAUAAGGACACAUGGGGACAUAUAGGGACGUAUAGAAAUAUAUAGACACAUAUAGGGACACAUGGGGACAUAUAGGGACACAUAGGGACAUAUAGGGACAUGUGGGGACAUACAGGGACAUACGGGGACACAUGGGGACAUAUAGGGACACAUGGGGACACGUGGGGACAUAUAGGGACAUAUAGGAAUACAUAGGAACACGUAAGAACACAUAGGGACAUAUAGGGACACAUAGGAAUACAUAGGAACACAUGGGGACACAUAGGGACGUAUAGGGACACACAAAGAUACAUAGGGACACAUAGGGAUACAUAGGAAUACAUGGGGACACAUGGGGACACAUAAGGACAUACAGGGACACAUAGGAACAUACGGGUACAUAUAGGGACAUGCAGCAACAUAUAGGGACGCGUGGGGAUGUGUGGGGACACGCGGGGAGCCGUACCGACACACAGGGACGUAUAGGGAUAUACAGACCCCCGGCCCCCCAUGACCCCCCACGACCCCCGACCCCCCAUGACCCCCGUGACCCCCAGCGCCCCAUGACCCCCCGUAACCCCUGGUCCCUUGACCCCCAAUAACCCCUGUGACCCCUGGCCCCCUAUG